AGAGUUUGAUCAUGGCUCAGAGCGAACGCUGGCGGCGUGCUUAACACAUGCAAGUCGAGUGCGCGUCCGUAGCAAUACGGAUGGCGCACGGCGCACGGGUGCGUAACACGUGGGCAAUCUGCCCUCGGAUGGGGGAUACCCCCGCGAAAGCGGGACUAAUACCGCAUGAAAUUCCGGAGACCUCGGUUUCUGGAUUCAAAGGUCGCAAGAUCGUCUGAGGAGGAGCCCGCGCCCGAUUAGCUAGUUGGUGAGGUAACGGCUCACCAAGGCUUUGAUCGGUAGCCGGUCUGAGAGGAUGGCCGGCCACACUGGAACUGAGACACGGUCCAGACUCCUACGGGAGGCAGCAGUGGGGAAUAUUGCGCAAUGGGCGAAAGCCUGACGCAGCGACGCCGCGUGGGGGAUGAAGCUUCUCGGAGUGUAAACCCCUUUCGACCCGGACGAAUGACCCGCAAGGGUUUGACGGUACGGGUAUAAGAAGCCCCGGCUAACUACGUGCCAGCAGCCGCGGUAAUACGUAGGGGGCCAGCGUUGCUCGGAAUUACUGGGCGUAAAGGGUUCGUAGGUGGUGCGGCAAGUUGGGAGUGAAAUCUCUGGGCUUAACCCAGAGGCUGCUUUCAAAACUGCCGUGCUCGAGUGCGAGAGAGGUCAGUGGAAUUGCAGGUGUAGCGGUGAAAUGCGUAGAUAUCUGCAGGAACACCCGUGGCGAAGGCGGCUGACUGGAUCGCAACUGACACUGAGGAACGAAAGCUAGGGGAGCAAACAGGAUUAGAUACCCUGGUAGUCCUAGCCCUAAACCAUCAGAACUUGGGGUGGCCCGCGUAGGCGGGUCGUCCCGUAGCUAACGCGUUAAGUUCUGCGCCUGGGGAGUACGUCGCA
rnacentral:rRNA from 1 species